GGUCAUCUGGGCUACAACUGACGCUAAUGCACGAAAGCGUGGGGAGCAAACAGGAUUAGAUACCCUGGUAGUCCACGCCGUAAACGAUGAGUGCUAGAUAUCGGAAGAUUCUCUUUCGGUUUCGCAGCUAACGCAUUAAGCACUCCGCCUGGAGAGUACGGUCGCAAGAUUAAAACUCAAAGGAAUUGACGGGGGCUCGCACAAGCGGUGGAGCAUGCGGUUUAAUUCGAUGUUACGCGAAAAACCUUACCAACCCUUGACAUGGUGGUCGCGGAUUGCAGAGAUGCUUUUCUUCAGCUCGGCUGGACCACACACAGGUGUUGCACGGCUGUCGUCAGCUCGUGUCGUGAGAUGUUGGGUUAAGUCCCGCAACGAGCGCAACCCUCAUUCUUAUUUGCCAGCGGGUAAUGCCGGGAACUAUAAGAAAACUGCUGGUGAUAAGCCA
rnacentral:rRNA from 1 species